rnacentral:rRNA from 1 species
AUGGAGCCGAGCCCAAUCAGUGCCUCGCUGGGCGCCAUGGGCUCGCUCCCACGGAAGCUCGACGAGCUCCUGGCGACCGGGCACUGGGCACUGAAGGGGGCCGUCACGGAUGAGAUCGAGCAGCUGGCAGCCGAUCUCCACACUCUGCACGAGCUCCUUGUGAAGCUCUUGAAUGCUCAGGACCCUCCCCUGGCGGCGAGGUACUGGAUGAAGGAGGUGCGGGAGCUGUCCUACGACAUGGUGGACUGCGCGGAUCAGUUCGUCCGCGCUGACGGCCGCGCCAAGAUCCGCAGAGCUGCUCGCCGGAAGACUAUCACCCGGUUGAAGCUCAGCCGCCUUCCGGAGAGGUGGAGGUGGCGCCGGUGGAUCGCGGACAAGGUCUCAGAAUUUAGGAGUCGAGCGCAGGAGGCGACCCAUCGGUACUGGAGGUAUAAGCUUUAUGAUUGCGCCUCAGAUCCUGGAAACUCUGGUGUGGGCAGCCCUGAGCUUCCGGUUGUUUCGCUGGAUACGGGUGAUCUAGUUGGCAUAGAAGGCCCAGUGGAUGAGCUUCGCCGGUGGUUGAUUGACGGAGAAGAGGAGCUCAAGGUAGUGUCGAUUUUUGGUGUGGGAGGAAUCGGCAAGACCACUCUUGCACAAAAAUUAUGGGGUAUGCUCCGCGGACAGUUCGAGUGCCGGGCAUUUGUGCGGACAGCCCGAAAGCCCGAUAUGAGGGGAAUCAUCAGGAGCAUACUCUCGCAAGUCCGUCAGCACCAGCCGCCGGACCCUGGCGAGAUGCCCCACCUGAUCCGCGAUCUCAGGGAAUAUCUACGUGAUAAGAGGUACUUUAUUAUAAUUGAUGACUUAUGGGCUACAUCAGUAUGGGAUGUUUUAAGUCGUGCUUUCCCAGAGGGUAAUUGUUGCAGCAGAAUAAUAACUACAACAGAAACUAUGGAAGUAGCUAUGGCAUGCUGUGGUUUUUGCCCUAAGCAUAUUUUUAAAAUGGAAUCUCUUAGUGAUGAUGACUCGGAGAAAUUAUUACUCCAAAGUUCUUGCCUCAGGGGUUCAACAAUUUGA